UACGAAGGGGCGAGCGUUGUUCGGAUUUACUGGGCGUAAAGGGCGCGCAGGCGGCUUCAUAUGUCAGGCGUGAAAGCCCCGGGCUUAACCUGGGAGGUGCGUUUGAUACGGUGGGGCUGGAGUUCGGGAGAGGAGCGUGGAAUUCCCAGUGUAGAGGUGAAAUUCGUAGAUAUUGGGAAGAACACCGGUGGCGAAGGCGGCGACUCGUGGACCGAGACUGACGCUGAGGCGCGAAAGCGUGGGGAG
rnacentral:rRNA from 1 species